GAUGAACGCUAGCGGCAGGCUUAACACAUGCAAGUCGAGGGGCAGCAUAAUGGAUAGCAAUAUCUAUGGUGGCGACCGGCGCACGGGUGCGUAACGCGUAUGCAACCUACCUUUAACAGGGGGAUAACACUGAGAAAUUGGUACUAAUACCCCAUAAUAUCAUAGAAGGCAUCUUUUAUGGUUGAAAAUUCCGAUGGUUAGAGAUGGGCAUGCGUUGUAUUAGCUAGUUGGUGGGGUAACGGCUCACCAAGGCGACGAUACAUAGGGGGACUGAGAGGUUAACCCCCCACACUGGUACUGAGACACGGACCAG
rnacentral:rRNA from 1 species